UACGGAGGGAGCGAACGUUGUUCGGAUUUACUGGGCGUAAAGGGUGUGUAGGCGGUCUUGCAAGUCAGGGGUGAAAUCUCUCGGCUCAACCGGGGAAGUGCACCCGAAACUGCAAAGCUAGAGUCUCGGAGAGGAUCGUGGAAUUCUCGGUGUAGAGGUGAAAUUCGUAGAUAUCGAGAGGAACACCGAUGGCGAAGGCAAUCCCCUGGGCCUGCACUGACGCUCAUGCACGAAAGCGUGGGGAGCAAACAGG
rnacentral:rRNA from 1 species